ACAGCAGUAGCCGCGGUAAAACAGAGGAUGCAAGCGUUAUCCGGAAUUAUUGGGCGUAAAGCGCGCGCAGGUGGUUUAAUAAGUCUGAUGUGAAAGCCCACGGCUCAACCGUGGAGGGUCAUUGGAAACUGUUAAACUUGAGUGCAGGAGAGAAAAGUGGAAUUCCUAGUGUAGCGGUGAAAUGCGUAGAGAUUAGGAGGAACACCAGUGGCGAAGGCGGCUUUUUGGCCUGUAACUGACACUGAGGCGCGAAAGCGUGGGGAGCAAACAGGAUUAGAUACCCCCGUAGUCCCUGUCUCUUAUAC
rnacentral:rRNA from 1 species